rnacentral:misc_RNA from 1 species
AACGCACAUUGCGCCCGCCAGUAUUCUGGCGGGCAUGCCUGUUCGAGCGUCAUUUCAACCCUCGAUCCCCCCCGGGGGAACGGUGUUGGGGGACGGCCCCCGCCCCAUCCGUGGGGAUGGCGGCCGCCCCCGAAAUGCAGUGGCGACCCCGCCGCAGCCUCCUCUGCGUAGUAGCUAUCACAGAAACCUCGCACCGGAGAGCGGCUCGGCUCAGCCGUGAAACCCCAACUUUCUGAAAGGUUGACCUCGGAUCAGGUAGGAAUACCCGCUGAACUUAA